rnacentral:ncRNA from 1 species
AGCAUUUAUGAACAAGUUGGAUGUUCAUGCCAUAUGUGUGAGAUGUGCUUCACUUAAACUUUGUUGCAGUGUUGGCAUAUUACCCACCUGAAG